rnacentral:rRNA from 1 species
GACGAACUGUGCAAACGUUAUUCGGAAUCACUGGGCUUGAAGAGUGCGUAGGCGGUUUCGUAAGUAGGGUGUGAAAAGCCCCCGGCUCAACCGGGGAAACGUUGCGCCCGUAAACCUAGCGAGGCUGGAGUGAGGUAGGGGUGGUGUGGAACUUCCAGUGGAGCGGUGAAAUGCGUAGAGAUCUGGAGGAAUACCGAUGGCGAAGGCGGCCCCCUCGGAGAAGACUGACGCUCAGGUGCGAAAGCGUGGGGAGCAAACAGGAUUAGAUACCCUGGUAGU